rnacentral:rRNA from 1 species
UACGGGAGGCAGCAGUGGGGAAUAUUGGGCAAUGGGGGAAACCCUGACCCAGCAACGCCGCGUGAGGGAAGAAGGUUUUCGGAUCGUAAACCUCUGUCCUUGGUGAAGAGUUUGAGACGGUAGCCAAGGAGGAAGCCCCGGCUAACUACGUGCCAGCAGCCGCGGUAAU